rnacentral:lncRNA from 1 species
CCGCCAUGAAAAGCCGCCCGUGGAGAGUGAUUUGAACGGUUUUAGAUAGUUCAGGAAAUAAAUUAGACUGUUUCAUAGUUCGGGGUAAAGUAGACAGCACCCAUAGUUCAGGGGUGAUGUAGACUUUUUCCAAUAUGAUAACUAAUGUUGAUGGUUAGUUUUAUAUGAUGUAUAUAUCUUGUAUGCUAAGAUAAAACUUUGUAGCGAGGAUUAGCUAUAUUAAUAUUAAAAGUAGCAAUUGCGUUG